UACGGAGGGUGCAAGCGUUAUCCGGAUUCACUGGGUUUAAAGGGUGCGUAGGCGGGUUGGUAAGUCCGUGGUGAAAUCCCCAAGCUUAACUUGGGAACUGUCGUGGAUACUAUCAAUCUUGAAUAUCGUGGAGGUAAGCGGAAUAUGUCAUGUAGCGGUGAAAUGCUUAGAUAUGACAUAGAACACCAAUUGCGUAGGCAGCUUACUACACGAUCAUUGACGCUGAGGCACGAAAGCGUGGGGAGCAAACAGG
rnacentral:rRNA from 1 species